GCGCUGCCUUUGAGCCCCCGGCGCACCUCCUUGUGGUGCCGGGGGUUAAGCUGCGGCGCCACAGCAACUGCUGGCACAUAACUGGGGCCGCCUGCCCUCUUUAAUCGCUAGCCACAGGU